rnacentral:rRNA from 1 species
UACGGAGGGUGCAAGCGUUAAUCGGAAUUACUGGGCGUAAAGCGCGCGUAGGUGGUUAGGUAAGCGAGAUGUGAAAGCCCCGGGCUUAACCUGGGAACGGCAUUUCGAACUGUCUGGCUAGAGUGUGGUAGAGGGUAGUGGAAUUUCCUGUGUAGCGGUGAAAUGCGUAGAUAUAGGAAGGAACACCAGUGGCGAAGGCGGCUACCUGGACCAACACUGACACUGAGGUGCGAAAGCGUGGGGAGCAAACAUG